GACUAGUAACAGCCAACCAUAUCGUGUGACCUCUGGUUCAAGAAAAGGCAGAUUACAGAGACAGGUGUUAUAGAAGCUGUCUAAACGCUGUUUUUCAUAUCCUGAAAAAUAAGUCUUUUUGGUUUUCCAACCUGUUGCUGUUACAGAGGUUUUUUUUUUUUUUUUUACAUUGCUGAACAGGACUUGGCCUUAAGAUUGGGUCGAAUGGUUGUGAGCUGGAGCGAGAGUUAACGACAUUUGUGUGGAACGAGAUGGCGAGCCUCCCAUGGCGGAACUGUGCAUAUGCCGGACUUGGCCUUAAGAUUGGGUCGAAUGGUUGUGAGCUGGAGCCAGAGUUUAAUGACACAUGUGGAACGAGAUGGCGAGCCUUCCACGGCGGAUCUUAUGAACUGUGCAUAUGCCAGAAGUUAAACGGUCUCUGCUAGACUGGAUCUGGAUCUCAUCCAAUCUGGUAGGAUUUACCCACUUUUUUCUGCAGAACAGCAGUGGACUCCAGAUAGAUCCAGAAUUUGCUCAUUCGGACCGAUCUAAGGACUAAGAAACAACAAAAGGACAAUUUAAAACUGUGGUGCACAGUUUUGUUCAGCCUUUUGCUGGAUUAUUUUGGGUUUAUGCAUUCUACUUCUAGCAAGUCCUGAGUUGAACCCUAAAAUUUACUUUUGACCCAGACCCUAAAAUAGGCCAGGUCCGGA